CGACGGCGACAACCGCAAUCACAUCCACGACCGUGAUCAUGGCCGAGAAUCACGCCCAGAAUAAAGCCAAGCUCAUCUCUGAGACCCGGCGGAGGUUCGAAGCGGAGUAUGUGACAGAUAAGUCAGAUAAAUAUGAUGCACGUGAUGUUGAAAGGCUACAACAAGAUGAUAACUGGGUUGAAAGUUACUUAUCUUGGAGACAUAAUAUUGUAGAUGAAACACUGAAGAUGCUCGAUGAGAGUUUUCAGUGGAGGAAAGAAAUUUCUGUCAACGGUAAGCUGUUCAAUUUAACCUUGACUGUAAUAUGUCCUGUAUAAAUGGCAUUGUUUUACAUUUAUCUAAUCAUGUAUUUGCACAUAUUCCUAGCAGUCAUCAUAAACACCAGAAUAUAAUUAUUUAUAAAGACCCAGUAAUACUUUCAAAGGAACAGCUUAUAAGUCUUUUAAGUGGGAUCAUUCAUAAGGAAAUCAGAUCACCAGAGAGCAGAAUCACACUCAGAUUCUUCAUUCACAGCAGAGUUUCCUAAUCUGUGUUUAAUUCAGUACCAUUAAGCAAUAGCAAGACUAUCUUUGCUACUAGGCCUAGAAAUAAGGAGAUACUGUCCAUUUUUCUCAGUUGUUGCCUAUGCCUUUCUCUAUCCCCACAGUUCCUUGUGCUAAUAGGUUAAUAGGUACACCAUAUAGAAUUGUUAAAUGAAUGAGAGUCACCCCAAAAAUGCAAGCUUAUCCCCAAGGAAGCCUAUCACA
rnacentral:sRNA from 1 species